rnacentral:tRNA from 1 species
CGGGGAGUAGCUCAGUUUGGUUUGGAGCGCUUGCUUUGGGAGCAAGAGGUCGUGAGUUCAAGUCUCACCUCCCCGA